AGAAUUCCAGGUGUAGCGGUGAAAUGCGUAGAGAUCUGGAGGAAUAUCGGUGGCGAAGGCGGCCCCCUGGACAAAGACUGACGCUCAGAUGCGAAAGCGUGGGUAGCAAACAGGAUUAGAUACCCUGGUAGUCCACGCUGUAAACGAUGUCUACUUGAAGGUUGGGAUCUUGAAUUCUGGCCUUCGGAGCUAACGCGUUAAGUAGACCGCCUGGGGAGUACGGUCGCAAGAUUAAAACUCAAAUGAAUUGACGGGGGCCCGCACAAGCGGUGGAGCAUGUGGUUUAAUUCGAUGCAACGCGAAGAACCUUACCUACUCUUGACAUCCAGAGAAGCCAGCAGAGAUGCAGGUGUGCCUUCGGGAANUNUGAGACAGGUGCUGCAUGGCUGUCGUCAGCUCGUGUUGUGAAAUGUUGGGUUAAGUCCCGCAACGAGCGCAACCCUUAUCCUUGUUUGCCAGCACGUAAUGGUGGGAACUCCAGGGAGACUGCCGGUGAUAAACCGGAGGAAGGUGGGGACGACGUCAAGUCAUCAUGGCCCUUACGAGUAGGGCUACACACGUGCUACAAUGGUGCAUACAGAGGGAAGCAAGAGCGCGAGCUGGAGCGGAUCCCAAAAAGUGCAUCGUAGUCCGGAUUGGAGUCUGCAACUCGACUCCAUGAAGUCGGAAUCGCUAGUAAUCGUGGAUCAGAAUGCCACGGUGAAUACGUUCCCGGGCCUUGUACACACCGCCCGUCAUC
rnacentral:rRNA from 1 species